GUAGGUAUAGUUUAACAAAAAUAUUAGAUUGUGAUUCUAAAGACAGGGGCUAAAAUCCCCUUACCCACC
rnacentral:tRNA from 1 species